rnacentral:rRNA from 1 species
AAUCAACGCUGGCGGCGUGCCUCAGACAUGCAAGUCGAACGAUUAAAGCUCUCUUCGGAGAGUGUAUAGAGUGGCGCACGGGUGAGUAACACGUAAGUAAUCUACCCUCGAGUGGGGAAUAACGACCGGAAACGGUUGCUAAUACCGCAUAAUGCAGCGGCACCGCAAGGUGACAGUUGUUAAAGAUUUAUCGCUUGAGGAGGAGCUUGCGGCAGAUUAGCUAGUUGGUAGGGUAACGGCUUACCAAGGCUACGAUCUGUAACCGGUCUAAGAGGACGGUCGGUCACACUGACACUGAAUAACGGGUCAGACUCCUACGGGAGGCAGCAGUCGGGAAUUUUGGGCAAUGGGCGAAAGCCUGACCCAGCAACGCCGCGUGAAGGAUGAAGUAUUUCGGUAUGUAAACUUCGAAAGAAUGGGAAGAAUUAAUGACGGUACUAUUUAUAAGGUCCGGCUAACUACGUGCCAGCAGCCGCGGUAAUGUCUGUACU